CAAGAUAUCUGUACCUGCGUCAGGCUGCAGGAUAUUCCUGUGGCUCUCUCAGGUCUCCCCACUGGAGGCUCCUGUCCACCUAGACCACACCUACAGUGAUGCCCUGAUGAGAAAGGAUCACUUUUGGUAUGUCUGUGUUCCUGAGAGAGAAAAGGCAAGAGGAAAGGAGGGGAAUUCACAGCUAAAUUUUAGGCCCCUGAGUUUCUGGCAGUUACAGUCAGGGCCCUCUGCUGAAAGAAGCAUCAUGGAAACCUGGACACACAUGAGAACCGGCCUUCCACGCAGGCAAGAAGCAGAAACUGAGGCUCCUCCUUCUCCAUCAUGAGGAAUGUCUUCUGGAAGGCCCUCUGUUGACCUCUCUUGAGAGAUGGCUUUGGUCUGGGUCACCCUGGGCCAUCAGUCAUAUUCUAAUAAUUUGAACCUUAAAAAGAAGGGGUUCUGGUUUCUGUUUCCUCUUUUUGUGUCCCAUAUAAAUUUCAGAUGCGGACAGAUGUAUAGGCAUGGGGCCUUGGCUAACUGCACUCACGACUCUUAGCCAAAUUAAUGAAGGAUAAUACUAAAGAGAACAAAACCCCCAGGGUAUUACAUAUGGAUUUCAAAUUCCAGAAUGAGUGCGAGAUAAGGG
rnacentral:lncRNA from 10 species